AACGUACGCUGGCGGCACGCCUAACACAUGCAAGUCGAACGAAGUAGUAAUACUUAGUGGCAGACGGGUGAGUAACAUGUAGGUAUCUGCCCUUUGGCCUGGAAUAACACGAGGAAACUUGUGCUAAUACCGGAUAAGUCUUUACGGAGAAAGCUUUAUGCACCAUUGGAUGAGCCUGCACUUGAUUAGUUUGUUGGUGGGGUAAUGGCCUACCAAGACUGUGAUCAAUAGCUGAUUUGAGAGGAUGAUCAGCCACAUUGGGACUGAGACACGGCCCAAACUCCUACGGGAGGCAGCAGUGGGGAAUCUUGCACAAUGGAGGAAACUCUGAUGCAGCGAUGCCGCGUGAGUGAAGAAGGCCCUUGGGUUGUAAAGCUCUUUCGUCGGGGAAGAAAAUGACUGUACCCGAAUAAGAAGGUCCGGCUAACUUCGUGCCAGCAGCCGCGGUAAUACGAAGGGACCUAGCGUAGUUCGGAAUUACUGGGCUUAAAGAGUUCGUAGGUGGUUGAAAAAGUUAGUGGUGAAAUCCCAGAGCUUAACUCUGGAACUGCCAUUAAAACUUUUCAGCUAGAGUAUGAUAGAGGAAAGCAGAAUUUCUAGUGUAGAGGUGAAAUUCGUAGAUAUUAGAAAGAAUACCAAUUGCGAAGGCAGCUUUCUGGAUCAUUACUGACACUGAGGAACGAAAGCAUGGGUAGCGAAGAGGAUUAGAUACCCUCGUAGUCCAUGCCGUAAACGAUGUGUGUUAGACGUUGGAAAUUUAUUUUCAGUGUCGCAGGGAAACCGAUAAACACACCGCCUGGGGAGUACGACCGCAAGGUUAAAACUCAAAUGAAUUGACGGGGACCCGCACAAGUAGUGGAGCAUGUGGUUUAAUUCGAAGAUACGCGCAGAACCUUACCAACACUUGACAUGUUCGUCGCGACUCUAAGAGAUUAGAGUUUUCGGUUCGGCCGGACGAAACACAGGUGCUGCAUGGCUGUCGUCAGCUCGUGUCGUGAGAUGUUGGGUUAAGUCCCGCAACGAGCGCAACCCUCACUUUUAGUUGCCAUCAUUAAGUUGGGCACUCUGAAAGAACUGCCAGUGAUAAGCUGGAGGAAGGUGGGGAUGACGUCAAGUCCUCAUGGCCCUUACGUGUUGGGCUACACACGUGCUACAAUGGUAUCUACAACAGGAAGCAAGACUGCGAAGUUAAGCAAAUCCCUAAAAGAUACCUCAGUUCGGAUUGCACUCUGCAACUCGAGUGCAUGAAGCUGGAAUUACUAGUAAUCGUGGAUCAGCGUGCCACGGUGAAUGCGUUCCCGGGUCU
rnacentral:rRNA from 1 species